rnacentral:rRNA from 1 species
GCAUAUCAAUAAGCGGAGGAAAAAGAAAACCAACAGGGAUUGCCCCAGUAACGGCGAGUGAAGCGGCAACAGCUCAAAUUUGAAAUCUGGCCCUCUGGGUCCGAGUUGUAAUUUGUAGAGGAUGCUUUUGGCGCGGUGCCUUCCGAGUUCCCUGGAACGGGACGCCAUAGAGGGUGAGAGCCCCGUCUGGUUGGACACCUAGCCUCUGUAAAGCUCCUUCGACGAGUCGAGUAGUUUGGGAAUGCUGCUCUAAAUGGGAGGUAUAUGUCUUCUAAAGCUAAAUACCGGCCAGAGACCGAUAGCGCACAAGUAGAGUGAUCGAAAGAUGAAAAGCACUUUGAAAAGAGGGUUAAAAAGUACGUGAAAUUGUUGAAAGGGAAGCGCUUGUGACCAGACUUGGGCCCGGUUGAUCAUCCAGCGUUCUCGCUGGUGCACUCUGCCGGCCCAGGCCAGCAUCAGUUCACGCCGGGGGAUAAAGGCGGUGGGAAUGUGGCUCCCCCGGGAGUGUUAUAGCCCGCCGCGCAAUACCCUGGGGUGGACUGAGGCCCGCGCUCCGCAAGGAUGCUGGCGUAAUGGUCAUCAGCGACCCGUCUUGAAACACGGACCAAGGAGUCGUCUUCGUAUGCGAGUGUUCGGGUGUCAAACCCCUACGCGUAAUGAAAGUGAACGCAGGUGAGAGCUUCGGCGCAUCAUCGACCGAUCCUGAUGUUCUCGGAUGGAUUUGAGUAAGAGCAUACGGGGCCGGACCCGAAAGAAGGUGAACUAUGCCUGUAUAGGGUGAAGCCAGAGGAAACUCUGGUGGAGGCUCGCAGCGGUUCUGACGUGCAAAUCGAUCGUCAAAUAUGGGGCAUGGGGGGCGAAAGACUAAUCGAACCUUCUAGUAGCUGGUUUCCGCCGA